rnacentral:lncRNA from 1 species
GGCAUGCUCCUGCGAUUAGUUUUCCGAAAGUCCAAUUAAGUCAAAGACUAGCAGUAGGUGCAAAUAAAAUAUCACAAUUUCAGAGGACAACUGUUGCGGCAACUGCUGGCACCCUGCUUCAUGACGUGGUUCUGCAGGACAAAAAUAAUGUUUCCAUCCUUUGUUUGUAUGUGUGUCCAUGGCUCGGAUGGCUCGGUGUUUGUGCAAAUUGCAAUACAAUUAAUUUGCAUUAAUUAUUGAGUCACAUGUCCUGACGCUUCAAAUGAGAAUGCAUUUUAAUUGAAUGCAUAUGGCGGCUGUCAGUCCUCAGCCAUCGAUCUCCUACCCCCACGUACUAAGUUGUUUCGAGUUUCCAUGUGCAAAUAUUUAACUCAAUUAUUAGCUCAAUGAGCAGUGAUAUCUCUGAUUUAAAUAUUUAUCCACAUUUGUGCAUGAAAUGAAUGUAUUUUCACAGCCAAUAAAUACGACAAAUAAAG